UUAGUGGAGUUGACCCUAGGAGGCUAGGAGCUAACCACUGCACUGAAAUGGAUUGACAACAGAGAGUUUUUAAGUUUCAGACUGAUUAGGAGUCGACCCCAGGGAAGAAGAGUUGACUCUGAUAUAUUGAAAUAAGACUGACAUGUAGGCAAGUCAACUCCUGUGAAAGAUAAGUUGACUCUCUCAAAGAAGAUAGAAAGCUGAUUUUUCAAAUCCUAUGCUA
rnacentral:lncRNA from 1 species